GACGUAGGGCGCGAGCGUUGUCCGGAUUUAUUGGGCGUAAAGAGCGUGUAGGCGGCUUGGUAGGUCCGCUGUGAAAACUCGAGGCUCAACCUCGAGAUGUCGGCGGAAACCGCUUGGCUAGAGUCCGGAAGAGGAGAGUGGAAUUCCCGGUGUAGCGGUGAAAUGCGCAGAUAUCGGGAAGAACACCUAUGGCGAAGGCAGCUCUCUGGGACGGUACUGACGCUGAGACGCGAAAGCGUGGGGAGCGAACAGG
rnacentral:rRNA from 1 species